rnacentral:rRNA from 1 species
ACUUGUGCUUCAUACGGGUAGUACAACUAUAAUUGUAGUUUGUACUGUACCUUAUGUAUGUAAGCGUAUUACCGGUGGAGUUCUUAUAUAUGUUAAAUACUUGUAUUUUUCAUAUAUUCCUCCUAUUUAAACCUGCUUCAGUGCUCUUCAUCGAGUGUUGUUGUGGGCCGGUACAAUUACUUUGAACAAAUUAGAGUGCUUAAAGCAGGCUCCAAAUGCCUGAAUAUUUUGUGCAUGGAAUAAUGAAAUAAGACCUCUGUUCUACUUUCAUUGGUUUUUAGAUCAAGAGGUAAUGAUUAAUAGAAGCAGUUUGGGGGCAUUAGUAUUACGACGCGAGAGGUGAAAUUCUUGGACCGUCGUAAGACUAACUUAAGCGAAAGCAUUUGCCAAAGAUGUUUUCAUUAAUCAAGAACGAAAGUUAGAGGUUCGAAGGCGAUCAGAUACCGCCCUAGUUCUAACCAUAAACGAUGCCAGCUAGCAAUUGGGUGUAGCUACUCUCAUGGCUCUCUCAGUCGCUUCCCGGGAAACCAAAGCUUUUGGGCUCCGGGGGAAGUAUGGUUGCAAAGCUGAAACUUAAAGGAAUUGACGGAAGGGCACCACCAGGAGUGGAGCCUGCGGCUUAAUUUGACUCAACACGGGAAAACUUACCAGGUCCGAACAUAAGCGUGUAAGACAGAUUGAUAGCUCUUCUCGAAUCUAUG